AUUGAACGCUGGCGGCAUGCCUUACACAUGCGAGUCGAACGGCAGCACGGGUGCUUGCACCUGGUGGCGAGUGGCGAACGGAUGAGUAAUACAUCGGAACAUGUCCUGUAGUGGGGGAUAGCCCGGCGAAAGCCGGAUUAAUACCGCAUACGAUCUACGGAUGAAAGCGGGGGACCUUCGGGCCUCGCGCUAUAGGGUUGGCCGAUAGCUGAUUAGCUAGUUGGUGGGGUAAAGGCCUACCAAGGCGACGAUCAGUAGCUGGUCUGAGAGGACGACCAGCCACACUGGGACUGAGACACGGCCCAGACUCCUACGGGAGGCAGCAGUGGGGAAUUUUGGACAAUGGGCGAAAGCCUGAUCCAGCAAUGCCGCGUGUGUGAAGAAGGCCUUCGGGUUGUAAAGCACUUUUGUCCGGAAAGAAAUCCUUGGCUCUAAUACAGUCGGGGGAUGACGGUACCGGAAGAAUAAGCACCGGCUAACUACGUG
rnacentral:rRNA from 1 species